AUGUUUCUUAUACCUAAGCAUAUUUCCCGAGGAUUCGGAAAUCCAGAUGAGGCAUCUAGUAGAAAGAUGAUUGCCGAGGGGUUGAUUAGGUGUGGGACUGGGGUGAACAUCGAGGAUGUGGCAAAAGGUUAUUUCAAUGAGUUAAUCAACCGAAGCAUGCUUCAAGCAUCAAGGUUGAACAUAGAAGGAGUUGUGAAGCGUUGUCGAGUCCAUGAUAUUGUGCGUGAUGUCAUGAUCUCAGUUUCUAGAGAUGAAAAUUUUGUGCAUGUGGCGGGACAUAAUGUAACUGGAGCUACGGACGAGACCUUCCGACAUGUAGAAUACCAUGGUAGCAUGUGCCAAAAUAUAGAUAUGGAUUGGAGCCACGUCCAGUCAGUAACUGUGUUUGGUGAGAGAUCAUUGGGGCCAUCGCCUUCAGUUUGUUCACCUGGCAUGAGAAUGCUCCGGGCCUUGGAUCUAGAAAAUGCACAGUUUCAAGUCACACAAAAGGAUAUCAGCAACAUAGGAUUGUUUCGCCACAUGAAGUAUCUGAAGUUUUCUUACCCACCAGGGUAUUCACAUAUUUAUAAACUUCCUGGAUCCAUAGGGAGAUUGCAAGGCUUGCGCACUUUGAACAUUAGAGACAGUUAUAUUACAGAACUGCCAACUGAGAUUUGUAAACUCAAAAAUCUACACAGUCUUCGUUGUACCAGAAAUAAUUCCUAUGAAUACUUUGACCUGAAUGACACCAAGAAUUGCUUGUUGAGCACAUUCUGUUGGCCCGUGUUGUUCACACCUUUGGCAGAUCCUAGUGAGCGUGCCAGGUUAGUUACUGACCUACACAUGGCAUGGUCUAGCUGUGAGGGUCCCAAAAGGAAUUGGCAAACUAAAAGAGUUGCAAAUACUAGAGGUGGUGGACAUCAGCCGAACUAG
rnacentral:rRNA from 1 species